rnacentral:rRNA from 1 species
AUUGAACGCUGGCGGCAGGCCUAACACAUGCAAGUCGAGCGGAUGAAGGGAGCUUGCUCCUGGAUUCAGCGGCGGACGGGUGAGUAAUGCCUAGGAAUCUGCCUGGUAGUGGGGGAUAACGUCAGGAAACGGGCGCUAAUACCGCAUACGUCCUGAGGGAGAAAGUGGGGGAUCUUCGGACCUCACGCUAUCAGAUGAGCCUAGGUCGGAUUAGCUAGUUGGUGGGGUAAAGGCCUACCAAGGCGACGGUCCGUAACUGGUCUGAGAGGAUGAUCAGUCACACUGGAACUGAGACACGGUCCAGACUCCUACGGGAGGCAGCAGUGGGGAAUAUUGGACAAUGGGCGAAAGCCUGAUCCAGCCAUGCCGCGUGUGUGAAGAAGGUCUUCGGAUUGUAAAGCACUUUAAGUUGGGAGGAAGGGCAGUAAGUUAAUACCUUGCUGUUUUGACGUUACCAACAGAAUAAGCACCGGCUAACUUCGUG